UACGGAGGGUGCAAGCGUUGUUCGGAAUUAUUGGGCGUAAAGGGCGCGUAGGCGGUAAUGCUAGUCAGAUGUGAAAUACUCCGGCUCAACCGGGGAACUGCAUCUGAAACUGCAUAACUAGAGUACAGAAGAGGGAAACGGAAUUCCCGGUGUAGAGGUGAAAUUCGUAGAUAUCGGGAGGAACACCAGUGGCGAAGGCGGUUUCCUGGUCUGAUACUGACGCUGAGGCGCGAAAGUGUGGGGAGCAAACAGGAUUAGAUACCCGCGUAGUCCCU
rnacentral:rRNA from 1 species